rnacentral:rRNA from 1 species
UACGUAGGGUGCGAGCGUUAAUCGGAAUUACUGGGCGUAAAGCGUGCGCAGGCGGUUUUGUAAGUCAGAUGUGAAAUCCCCGGGCUUAACCUGGGAACUGCGUUUGAAACUACAAGGCUAGAGUGUGGCAGAGGGGGGUGGAAUUCCACGUGUAGCAGUGAAAUGCGUAGAGAUGUGGAGGAACACCGAUGGCGAAGGCAGCCCCCUGGGCCAAUACUGACGCUCAGGCACGAAAGCGUGGGGAGCAAACAGG